rfam:Pan troglodytes isolate Yerkes chimp pedigree #C0471 (Clint) chromosome 1, whole genome shotgun sequence.
UAUAGGUUGGUGCAAAAGUAAUUGCGGUUUUUGCCAUUGAAAGUAAUGGCAAAAACCGCAAUUACUUUUGCACCAAUCUAAUA